AGUGAACGCUGGCGGUAGGCCUAACACAUGCAAGUCGAACGGCAGCACAGUAAGAGCUUGCUCUUACGGGUGGCGAGUGGCGGACGGGUGAGGAAUACAUCGGAAUCUACUUUUUCGUGGGGGAUAACGUAGGGAAACUUACGCUAAUACCGCAUACGACCUACGGGGGAAAGCAGGGGAUCUUCGGACCUUGCGCGAUUGAAUGAGCCGAUGUCGGAUUAGCUAGUUGGCGGGGUAAAGGCCCACCUAGGCGGCGAUCCGUAGCUGGUCGGAGAGGAUGGUCAGCCACAUUGGAACUGAGACACGGUCCAGACUCCUACGGGAGGCAGCAGUGGGGAAUAUUGGACAAUGGUCGGAAGCCUGAUCCAGCCAUCCCGCGUGGGUGAAGAAGGCCUUCGGGUCGUAAAGCCCUUCUGUUGGGAAAGAAAAGCAGUAGGUUAAUACCCCGCUGUUCUGACGGUACCCAAAGAAUAAGCACCGGCUAACUUCGUG
rnacentral:rRNA from 1 species